UAUGCUGGGAUCCAACCUCUUGAUGCCAUAAACAAUGAGGUUGUAGAGGCCACCCGUGUAACAAGGCAUAAAAACCAACGGGCCCUGCAGUGGGAGGCAGGCAUGUAUGCCAACCAGGAGAGCUAAUGAAUCAGCACAAA